rnacentral:rRNA from 1 species
UACAGAGGUCUCAAGCGUUGUUCGGAUUCAUUGGGCGUAAAGGGUGCGUAGGUGGCGGGGUAAGUCAGGUGUGAAAUCUCGGAGCUCAACUCCGAAACUGCACUCGAUACUGCCUUGCUCGAGUACUGGAGAGGAGAUUGGAAUUUACGGUGUAGCAGUGAAAUGCGUAGAUAUCGUAAGGAAGACCAGUGGCGAAGGCGAAUCUCUGGACAGUUACUGACACUGAGGCACGAAGGCCAGGGGAGCAAACGGG